UCUAGCAUGGUGUAGUGGUUUGAGUAUUGGACUAUAACUCCAGAGACGAGGGUUCAAAUUCCCACUCAGCCAGAG